rnacentral:rRNA from 1 species
UACGUAGGGUGCGAGCGUUAAUCGGAAUUACUGGGCGUAAAGCGUGCGCAGGCGGUGAUGUAAGACAGAUGUGGAAUCCCCGGGCUCAACCUGGGAACUGCAUUUGUGACUGCAUCGCUGGAGUGCGGCAGAGGGGGAUGGAAUUCCGCGUGUAGCAGUGAAAUGCGUAGAUAUGCGGAGGAACACCGAUGGCGAAGGCAAUCCCCUGGGCCUGCACUGACGCUCAUGCACGAAAGCGUGGGGAGCAAACAGG